UGCUGCAUGGCUGUUGUCAGCUCGUGUCGUGAGAUGUCUGGGUUAAGUCCCGCAACGAGCGCAACCCUUGUCGUUAGUUGCCAGCAUUCAGUUGGGCACUCUAAGGAGACUGCCGGUGACAAACCGGAGGAAGGUGGGGACGACGUCAAGUCAUCAUGGCCCUUACGUGUAGGGCUACACACGUGCUACAAUGGCAUUUACAGAGGGAAGCAAGACAGUGAUGUGGAGCGGACCCCUUAAAGAAUGUCGUAGUCCGGAUUGGAGUCUGCAACUCGACUCCAUGAGGUCGGAAUCGCUAGUAAUCGCAGGUCAGCAUACUGCGGUGAAUACGUUCCCGGGCCUUGUACACACCGCCCGUCACACCAUGGGAGUGGGAUGCAAAAGAAGUAGUUAGUCUAACCUUCGGGAGGACGAUUACCACUUUGUGUUUCAUGACUGGGGUGAAGUCGUAACAAGGUAACC
rnacentral:rRNA from 1 species